AUAAAGCUGUUGAGAUAUUGUUAUACCUGUUAGGCAGUUUAGGAAAACUGUUAGUAUUGAUAAGAGAAUGUUAGAGAUGUUAGAGAGGUUAGAAAACACGUGAACAAGGCUUUAACUCAGUUGAUAUAAAGUCUGUAGUUGUGCCUAGUUGAGCUUAAUGAGAAAUACAAGUAGUCUCUUCUCUAUCUCUGAAAUUCUCUCUGCUCUCUCUGCUUUACUUCUUUUCUCUCUGCUCUAUAUUUCUUUUCAGUCUUCCUAUCUUAACAUGGUAUCAUUCGCCAUGGAUCGAUCCUGAUAUUCUGUUCUUCUGCUUCCGCACUCUCUUCCUCUUUGUUUUCUCUCUCUAGCUUCUUUCUCUACUCAAACACUGCAAC
rnacentral:lncRNA from 1 species